AAUACCUUUCAACACCGGAUCUGUUGGUUCUCGGAUCGAUGAAGAACGGAGCGGAUUGCGGUAUGUAUUGUGGAUUGCAGAUUUUCGUGGAUCAUCAAAUCUUUGAACGGACAUUGCGGCCUUUGGUAUUCCAGGGGGGCAUGUCUGUUUGAGCGU
rnacentral:rRNA from 1 species